CGAUGACCGUUCCUCUCACUGUCACAAGAUUUGGGCAGUGGGAUUUUGUGUCAUCGCAUAUUAAAGGUGGCCUUUCUUCACUCAGGGGUGCCUAGGGAUGGGUUUGGCCGUCCCAUGGUUCUUCACUGAAUUUUGCGGGGUCUCACAUUC